UUCUUCACGGCCGCCGGACAGUGAUAUAUUCUGAGUUGUUUCGUUGAUGAAACACACUCGAUUAAUUGAAAAUGCAGUAAAUAAAACAAAAAAAAAUCAGCGGAUAUACUUUGCCGCCUUAAGUGGCCGCAGGAAGAAAACUGGAACUCCCACCCACCGCCCAGCAAAACAAUUGUCACGCUGGUAAACAACAUCUUGUUCUGCGUUCAGGUGUUGUUAUGCCGCCACGAGCCCCGGACAGGUUUUUUUCAGACCCAGUGGCGUGAAAAUGGAGCUGAUCUGAUGACGGUGCCCAAGUCUGUCGUUGUUUCUGACAGCGGAGAUCAGCACUGAUCAGAGUUCGGUAGCUGCGUCAUAUUGAGAGGAUGCCCCGCUGAUAAUAAUUGCAGGGGGAAAUAGUCGCCGCAAGGAAUGACUGAAACUGUUCUGCAACAAACUGUGAUCCAUUGUUACUGACUAAGUGCUCUGGAACACCAAUCCUUGGCAAGAGGCUUCUCAACACAGCAACAGUGGGCAAAGCUGUGGUGGAGACUGCUGGGAACACAUCUGGUCACUUUGUAGCUGCAUCCAUUACUACCACGAAAUAUGAGCCGGUAAAUAGUUGAGUAAAGUCUACAUGAAUCCUGUGCUGGGGCAAUACAGGCUGUUCUCAGGGAUGGAGAAGUGCUCUUUUUGGUAUCUCCUGGAUGUUUUGGCAUUCUAUAUAAUGCAUGGUGAGCUGUUUGAUCUGAUAAUCUAUCCCAGGCCACCAGACAAAGCCUCGAGCCAACGCUUUCAUUUUGACUGGCAUGUACUCCUCCAACACUUCAGCUUUAAACUUGGAUGAUCCAAACCCCACAUAAGGCAAACUCCUUCAAGGACAAGUUUAUCCUGGCUCUGGUAAAAACGGGGGAAUUGGAGUUUAUGUUGCAGGUUCCAGAUACUUAUAAUCCUGAGAAAGUUUGGGGUCUUCUCCAGUUUCCCUUUGGAUCAUCUCUACUGUAUAGGGAGAAUAAACUGAGAAAUGUCCUCUUUUGUAAAUUUUUUAGGUAUUUCCUGUUCCAAGAGUAAACAGGACAAUCCAUAAGCAUUUCCAUGAUUAAUCAUCCACUUGAAUUCAAUGUCGUACUGCUGCUGCUAGUGGGAACACCCUGCUGUGGAUUGAAAAUGGACACAAGUAAUGAUCAGCAACGAGGGUGAACUCUUUCACAUACAAGCACCGUUUGAAAUGUUUUACACUCCAAACCAGACUCCAGGCCUCUCUGCUAUUCUGUGUGGAAAGGGAAUGUGAUGGGGCAUCCCAAAAUGCUGCUGGAACAUUCACUUCCAUCACUCUUAAUGUGUAAAAUGACUGCAGCUAUCCCGUAAGGGAAGGUCUCUCAGGCAAGCUUCACUGGACAAUGUGGAUCAUAAUGUGUGAGUACAGUGUCUGACAUCACCAUUUCCUUUACCACCUCACACUUUUUGUUCAUUGUCAUUUCUUUCAGAUCAGUAGUAAUGAGUUCAAAGAGUGGAGCAUAGUAGACAGGUUUGACGGAAACCAGUUAGAAUAAUUGACUAAUCCUAAAAAGGACCAUAACUGUGACACAUCCUUUGAUCUUGAGGCAUCUACUACUGCUUCAAUUGUCUCUGUACACUUGUGUAAUCCUUGUGCAUUGAUGGUGUGAACACAGUAACUGAUGCUAGGUUUAAAGAAUUCACACCUUUACAUUGUGCUCUGAGCCCAUAAUCUUCUGAUCUUUUUAACACUGUCUUGUGAUUUUGGAGAUGUUCCUUCUCAUCCGUUCUGGUAACAAUGAUGUCAUCCAGGAAAAAUCUGAGUGCCUAGGCAAUCUUGCAUCAUCUCUGCCAGAGUGUAGGUGCCGAUGCAACUCCAAAAAUAAACCAAUUGUAGCAGUAAAGCCCUUAGUGAGUGUUUACGGUGAGAAAGACUUUGGACUCUUCUUCCAUCCCCAUCUGUAGGUAGGUCUCAGCUGAGUCCACUUUGCUGAAGGGUUUCCCUCCAGAAAGGUUUGCAAAGACAUCCUCUAAAGAGUAUUGAUUUACUUUCAGUAUUAUGUUAACAGUGACCUUAAAAUCACCACAGAUCCUGACAUAUCCAUUCUUCUUGGCUAUUGGAUCUACUGCCAUGGACCAUGGGCUCUACUCAAAAAUUUCCUGGAAAGAAGUCCUUCAGCUUCCAUGCAGUCUAGCUCGCUGGCUACUUUAUCAUGGGUGAUAUAAGGAACCGGAUGGGUUUUGUAAAACUUGGGUAUGGUAUUUUCAGUUAACACAAUUUUACCCUUGAUAUGCUUGAGUUUUACAAUGCCAUUCUUGAACAUUGCUGUGGCAUCAUCCGGUCCUGUUCCCAAUUCACUCUAUUGCUUGGGAUGAGGCACCCCCACAAUGCUGGCCCUCGAGUAUUUAUCAAGUACAAGCCCUAUGUAGUUUGUUGAUUGUUAUAUUUCACUGUUGAGAAUAUCAUUCCCAGAGGAGUUCCCUGUCAGUGUCCAAUUCCAUUUUAAUUAAUCCGAUAUUCUGUUCUGUGUAAGCCACGUUGCCUGUCCUCUUUUUUCAAAGAAUUGGGUUUCCCUACCUCCAUCAUUGAUGCUGUCCUCAUCUGCUUCUCCUCCAUUUGCCUUACAUCUGUGCCCACCCUAUCGUCCUGCCAAAUUAACAGGGAUCAAUUUCCUCUUGUCCUUACCUACCAACCCAUGAGCCCCCACAUGCAACUUGUCAUUCUCCACAAAUUCCACCAUCUUCAAAGGGAUCCUACCACAAGCACACCUUAGCUUCCCCCCUCCCCAAGCCUUCUUCUGCAGGGAUCACUCCCUCCAUAAUUUCCUAGUCCAGUUUUCCCUCCACACUAAUCUCUCUCAACACUUAUCCCUGCAAGUGGCCAAAGUGCUACACCUGCCCAUUCCCCUGCUCUGUCACUUCUAUUGAGGACCCCAAACAGUCCUUCCAGGUGAGGCAAACACUUCACCUGAGAAUCUUCUGGGAUUGUCUACUGUGGCCGGUGAUCCUGAUGUGGCCUCAUCAACAUCGGUGAGACCUACCGCCAAUUGGGGGGGGGGGGGGGGGGAAGCUGCUUUGUUGAUCCCCUCCGCUCCAUCCGUCAAAAGCCGAACUUCCUGUUUGUCAAACUUUUAAUUCCGAUUCCAAUUCCUGUUCCAACAUAUUGGUGUAUGACCUCCUCUUGCACCAUGAUGAGACUUCACUCAGGGUGGAUAAGCAAUAUAUACCGUCUAGGUAGCCUCCAACCUGAUGGCAUGAAUAUUGAUUUUUCUUUCCGGUAAAAAAAAUUCUCCCCCUCCCCUCUUCUUUUAUUCCCUACUCUGGCCUCUUACCUCUUCUCAACUGCCUAUCACCUCCCCCCGGAUCCCUUCCUCCUUCCCUGUGUCCUAUCAGAUUCCUUCCUCUCCAGCUCUUUACCAAUCCUUCCCACCUGGCUUCGCCUGUCACCUAUCACCUCCUAGCUAUCCUCCUUCUCCUCCCACCUUCUUAUCUGGCAUCUUCUCCCUUCUUUUCUGGUCCUGAAGAUGGGUCUGGCCCGAAACGUUGACAGUUUAUUCAUGUCCAGAGAUGCUGCCUGACCUGCUGACUUCCUCCAGCAUUUUGUGUUUGCUGCUUUGGAUUUCCAGCAUCUGCAGAAUUUCUCCUGUUCAUGAUAUGCUUGCCUGUUGUUAGGUUUAACAUUGUAAAUCUCAAGGCUACUCAGUCUGCAUCAUUCUCGUCAUUACCAAAUAUUUCAUCAACAGCAUGCAGAUUAUUGCUCUUUUUGAAACUGCAACUUGACUUUUUAGCUUUUUCUCUCCCUGUGCAGUCUAUUUAUCUUGGUCUGCCCGACAUGCUGUUUGUAUCUGUUACAUUUUCUGCAAGUUUAAUCUGCAUUGGUUUGUUUUCUGUGAGCUCCUGCCACAAUAGUAACACAAUUUAUUCGACCAGGCAGGUUUCUGUUUGGACAUUGCAGUUUUGUUAACGUGUAAUUUCAUUACCGAUCGCAACUCUCUGUACUGUUUCCAUUGGUACAACUGCUCUUUAAAAUGUAGGUUGUGCUUCAGUUUGGAGUUGUUUUUGCAUGCUUUCUUGUAAGAUUCCACAAAUUAAACAAUCUCUCAGUGCAUCAUUAAGCCUAUCACUGAACAGACAACUUCAAUUCAGCCACGUACGCUGAAACGGACUCCCACUCCUUUUGAUUUAUUUAUGAAACCUAAAGCAUCCUGAAAUCAACAACGGGUUUGGCUCUGAUUGUUCUUGCAAAGUAUUAGCAAAGAUAAUUUUGGCUGAUUUGGUUGGAGCAGUCAAGCUUCUAAGCAAACUGUAUGCUUUGGCGUCUAAUGCACUCAGCAUAAUUGUACCUUGUUUCUCAUUGGCUAUUCCAUUUGCUUUAAGAUACUGCUCAGCUUGCUCAGUAUACAUAGUCUGGUAAUCACUUGUGCAGUCAAACACAAAACAUAAAAAUUAAUUGAAAGGAAAACAUACUGUCUGGGAAUAAGAGUCUUUGUUGUAACUUUAUGCGAGAUGUGUGUGUUUGAAGCAGCAAUGUGAUAUGUAUGCUAUUCACAUACUCUUACAUAUAACCAAUAAUGCAUUAUGUAAUCACAGAAUGUCUAUUCAAACAAUAUAUUUACAUUAUUACUCAAAUAUUAUUGAAAUAUUCACCCACCCACCCCCACGCCCAGCACUAGCAAACUUUCCUGCAUGGAUGUUUGUCUCCCUUCAGUGCAGGUAUAAACUUUCUCACCUCUACAUGUCCCACCUUUCCUGGUCGUGAGUCCAAUGAGACAAAAUCCUGAAGCCUUCCCUCCUGCAGCAUCUCCUUAGCCAGUAUUACCUUCCUAUUUCUAGACUCGCUAACAUGUGCAAUGGGUAGCAAUCCUGAGAUCACAACCCUGGAUGUCCUGUCACUUAGCACCUAACUCCGUGACUGUACUUGGUAGGACCUUGUCACCCUUCCUGCCCGUGUCACUUCUACUGUUGUGGAUCAUGUCCUCUGGAUGCUCACCCUCCCACUUCAGAAUGCUCAGGCGUGCUUGACUGUGGCUCCCGGGAAGCAACACACCAUCCAGAAUCUUGUUCUUGACCGCAGAACCUCCAGUCUGUUCCCCCAAUCAUUGAGUCCCCUAUCACUGUAGCUCACCUCUUCUGCCUCCUUCCCUUCUGAGCCGCAAAAUAACAAUUAUAAGUCCAAUGCAGCAGCAACUUUUAUUUAAGGCUUCACUGAGGUUUGGACUGGGAUCACUGGACUCAGUUCACAGUGUUCUCCAUUACACACAGUCAGUCCAUGGCCUCCUCUGCUGCCGUAAUGAGGCCACUCUCAGGUUGGAGGAGCAACACAGCAUUUUCUGUUUGGGUAGCCUCCAAAGUGACAGUAUAAACAUCGAUUUCUCCAACUGCUGGUAAUUUUGCUCCCCCUCCCCUUCUCACUUUCCAUUCCAUCUCCCCAUUUACUCCUUCUCUUCUCCUCGUGGAAUGCUUAAUGGUUAGGAUGCCAUCAUGUGAUGGUGUAAUUUCAGUUUUUUUCCACAAUAGAUUAAUAUAUCAUGACUUUAAGGUUACAGGUACCGUAACCUUAUUAGUUUACAAAUUACUGCUCCAAAUACUUACACUGAGACUUCCAUGAUUUCAUAGUUGAAAGAGCUCCGAGAAGCUCUCGUGUGUUUAAAUUUCUGUUUUAGCACGCUUCUCUUUCUGUUAAGUGCUUCAGAUGCAGGCUGAGAUUGAGAUUGAUAAUUGUGUCUCCUGUCUCCGUGGACCACAGAAACAGCCUUAUUUCAUUGGUUAUAAUGCAAUGCAAUAGUUCUCUUUACUCCAAUAUUUUUAUAACUAUUUUGCACUACUCCUGUGAUUAGUCCUUUGUGUGAGUGCAUGCUAGCUGGUAACCAAUAGAAAUGGCACAUAUACCCCCCCCCCCCCCCCCACACACACACACACACAUGCACAAACAGACUAAUCACAGGACACAUAAAAGACGAACAAUGUAGAUCGUCAACAUUUCAUUCGAAGUUGCACUGAUGAAGUUGCCCAGCUGGGUAACAAAUGUCUGCAAGCUAACAAGCCAGCUCGAAAGGAUACGGAGGCUUUGGAAAGGGUGCAGAAGAAGUUUACGAGAAUGCAGCCUGGAUUAGAAAGAUAUCAGCUGCUUCAAUCUGCAGGCUUUUCACUGGCCGUUCAGUGUCAAACACUACUAUCUCCUUGAAAUUCAUCACUAAACACCAAGACAUGGGGCUUGAUUCAUCACUUACAACUGGAUUCUUAAUUUCCUCACUGGCAGGUCCCAGUUAGUAUGGAUUUGUUCCACAGACAGCAUCAGCACAGUGCAUUGAGAAGGAGUUGUCAUGGAGAGCAGAAAGGAAGGGGGGGCUUCCCAACUCUUUGAUUCACCUUUGCAAAACUCUUUCUUCAUGGUUCAAAGGAAGAUUUCAUCUUCACUGGAAGGUGACAGCUUACAAUCAUCUUCCGAGUGACAGAAGAACAGCUUGCCUAAAUUUGGUAUGUCAGGACAUUUGACCUGACUUCCAGGGCUCUGAAGCUAAUGUUGUCAAAUAUGCCAAUCGGUUGUGUCUCCAAAACGCGGGUGAUGCUUUUAAAGAUGAGUUACCUUUUCACUCUGCUGUCCUCGCAGUGCAUGUGUGAAAAACUAGGCAGGGAUUUAACCACCAUAUCAAAACUCACCUGAGCCAGAAGUUUUCUUCGGGGUUCAAAAAGAUAUUUCUGUUUCAAGCGAAAAUAAAGAGUGGGUGGAGAAGAAUGUCUUUCCACCGUGUGCUUCAAGUCAAAAUGCAAAUUAACACAUGCAGGAAAAGAUGUAAAAAGAAGCUUACAUACAGAAAGUGGUGUUCAUAUAAAACAGCCUGCCCCUCUAGAGACCAGAACACUAUGAUUGUUUGGCUAAGAAUAUUUCUAAUGCUGUAUUUAAGUUUGCAAUGACACCACUGUCUUCGGCUGAACUAAGGAUGGCGUAUAUCAGCAUGUAAGACGGAAACUGAAAAUCUGAUUGAAUGGAGCUAAAACAACAACUUGAUGUCAGUAAAACCAAAGAGCUGAUUAUUGAAUACAGGAGAAGGAGCUGGAGGUCCCAAUCCAGUCCUCAUAAGGGGCAUCAGAGGUGGAGAGGGUCAAUAGCUUUAAAUUCCUUGGCAUUAACAUAUAUAACAGGAACUGCCCUGGGACCAGCAUUUAAGUGCCAUUCCAAAGAAGGCACAACAGUACCCGUAUUUUCUUGAAGUUUGCAUAGAUUUGGCAUGUCAUCAAAAACUUCUGGCAACCUUCUCUAGAAGCACAGUGGAGCGUAUCCCAAUUGGAUGCAUCACAGCCUGGUAUGGAAGUGCCAUUGCCCAGGAAUGAAACAAGAUCUCCAGAAAGCAGCAGAUACAGCCUAGUCCAUCAGUAAAAGCCCCAGUCAUUGAGUGCACUUACAUGAAGCACUGCCACAAGAAAGCAGCGUACCAGAUCUUUGAAGAUCCCACCACCCUAGCCAUGCUUUCUUCAUGUACAGCAGCUGUAGGCCACACAGUACCAGGUUUGGGAACUAGAAGCUUACUUUCAAGGGCUCUUUACAAGACAUGUUCCCUGUAUUUUUUUAUUUGUACAAUUUGUUUUACACAUUGGUUGUGUUCAAGUCUUUCUUUGGUUUUUCGUAGAUUCAAUUGUAUUCCUUUAUUUUUCCUGUACAUACCUGUAAGAUAAUGAAUCUCAAGACUGAAUAUGGUAACAAAUGUGUACUUUGAUAAUAAAUUAAUUUGAACUUUGAAAAUCAGCUUGCUUUGUCCUUUCUAGUGGUAACAUCCACAGUUCAAAAUCAGAGUCAGUUUCAGGGUUUAAUAUCACUGGCAUAUGUCGUGUAAUAGCUGUUUUGUAGCUGCAGUGCAUUGCAAUACAUAAUAAAAAGCUGUAAAUUACAAAAAGAAGUCUAUAUAAAAAAGAAAAUUAAAUUAAAUAAGUAGUGUAAAAGCAGAAGGAAAAAUACUGAGGUAAUGUUCAUGGGUUCAUUGUCCAUUCAGAUAUCUGAUGGCGGAGGAGAGGAAGCUGUUAAUAAAAUGUUGAGUAUGUGUCUUCAGGCUUC